CAGAGUAGUUAAAGGGCGUUAAGUGUCAUACCACGGGAUGUUGGGUAUGGACGAACACGAUUGUGGCGGUCCUUUAGCGCGUCCGCUGU
rnacentral:ncRNA from 1 species